UUAUCAGCAUUAUGUUUGAUGCUAUUGUGAGUUAUGGCUCGGUUUCUUUCAAGGUAUGAGCUUCCGACAAAAGGCAUGAAGCCAAGAACAAAACUGGCAGGAAUGAUUGUAAGAAGUAGCUUCUGAAUCCAGUACAUUCUUCUGUUUCCAAGAAGAAAUUGAUGUCAAGAGAAACUCUUUUUUCACAAGUUCUCAACAGAAGUUGAUCUUAAAU
rnacentral:lncRNA from 1 species